CGGUCAUUACCAAGGCUUUUAGAAUGCAGUUUCUCAUUUGCCAUGGACAUGACCACAAAAAUAUUUUUCCACUAGGUUUUUUCCUGCUAUAUUGCUAGCAUUCAGUCUAUUGGGAACAUUU